AAUCAACGCUGGCGGCGUGCCUCAUACAUGCAAGUCGAACGCGAAAGUAACCUUCGGGUUGCGAGUAGAGUGGCAGACGGGUGAGUAACGCGUGGGUGACCUACCUUCGAGUGGGGGACAACCCCUGUAAUGGGGGCUAAUACCGCAUAACAUCCUGUUCUUAGAUGGACAGUGAUCAAAGCUGGCCAAGCUUCGGUUUGGCUAGUGCUUGUUGACGGACCCGCGUCCGAUUAGCUUGUUGGUGGGGUAAUGGCUCACCAAGGCUUCGAUCGGUAGCCGGCCUGAGAGGUCGGACGGCCACACUGGGACUGAGACACGGCCCAGACUCUUACGGGAGGCAGCAGUAGGGA
rnacentral:rRNA from 1 species